rnacentral:rRNA from 1 species
AUUGAACGCUGGCGGCAGGCCUAACACAUGCAAGUCGAGCGAGCGGCGGACGGGGGAGUAAGGUGUGGGGACUGCCCGAUAGAGGGGGAUAACUAAUGGAAAAGGUAGCUCAUACAGCAUACUAUAGGAUACACCAUAGGGGAUUUGCUAGUAGGGGAGGUAAUGGCUCACAUAGGCGACGAUCCCUAGCGUGUCUUAGAGGAUGAGAAGCCAGACUGGGACUGAGAACCGGCCCAGCCUCCGACGGAGGCAGCAGUGGGGAAUAUUGCACAAUGGGCGCAUGCCUGAUGUAGCCAUGCCGCGUGUAUGAAGAAGGCCCUAGGGUUGUAAAGUACUUUCAGUCGGGAGGCGUUACCGACAGAAGAAGCACCGGCUAACUCCGUGCCAGCAGCCGCGGUAAUUC